AAUGCUGAAACGAUACAACACAUAUGUUAGACACAUAACUAUUUCAUUUCACCACGUACUCACUGAAAGAUAAUAUUACUAACCCACAUAUAUGUUGCGGGAGAUAAGCCGAACGAUAAAGCUGGACUUGAAAUGCAGCUUCUUCACCAAAAUGGUUUCUAUCAUGUCAAAGACUGGCAUUGCAUGCAUCUGCAAUUGAAAAUAUGAUAAGCCUGUGACAUAAUAGACGAAUAAAAGAAUCAAUUCUAACUGAAGUUAUGUUAUUCAUAACGAAGAACAAUGAUCUCAAAAUUACUGUGAUUACUCCUGGUAACUUCCGAUGACAUGGAUGACAACAAACGUGUUAGCUGCUGCGAUAUGCCAUGCAGGUUUUUAAGGAUAUUGUCCUCUACUUUGUUUUUAAACAUCCUGUAGCCAAUUAGAGCAACUGGGAAAUAGCAGAGGGCAACAAUGAAUAGGCUACCAGCACCCCUCUCCACAGGGUUUCUUUCAAGGCUUUUCUGGUGUUGAAGGGAUUGUUGCUUGGAUCUCUAACACCACAUUGUGGCCGGCAUACGCAAAAGCUACGUCGCCCAAGACAGUGAAGAAAUCAAACACCGUUCCAGCUCGGCUAGAGGCCGGGUAACCAUAUUCAACUCCCGGUUGUAUGCCCUUGUGAAGAGAAGCUGUCCAAGCAAUGGUGGAAUAUCUGAAACAGAAUAUUCUAAAGAAUGUUAUUAAAAUGGAGAAAGAAGGGAGGGCAUACGUUGAAGACAUGACUGCUGCUGCCAAAGAGACCCCGGAGAUGGAGUUGAAGUUUGGAAGGUGGGAGAGGAUGAAAUGAACCAAAGUGAAUAUCAUUAUGAAUUACAUACCAUCCAAGAGCUGCCAUGGUGUAGGGAAGACUCAAGACUUCUGCACUGACCAUGGCUGUGAUGUCGUGAAAAGCUGAGUAUCACCAUUUUGCAUUACUUGAAGAAGUGACUGGUAGCCAAUCGUCAAUUUCCUUUUCCUCUUUCUGAUUUGUAUCCACCUUACAGUGAAUAAAUCAUGGAGUCUACACCUUGGCCCCUCAAGCUGCAGACAGGUUAAACCGCCGGUUGUGCCCCAAACUGACCAGUGCUCAAGAGCCCCCCCCAACUGAUCUGCCAAAGUGUCAAGCAAGUCAUUUCUCAUCUUUGCACCUUACCUUUCAGUAGAACUCUUGUCUUCCAGGAAAAUAUCUACCUUCCAAGAGCCUUCCAAAAAUCGAACUCAUAACCUCUGAUCUGCCAAUCUUGAAGUGCCCUCAUCUUUGCCAGUUGGGAUGUGCUCUGGGGGGCUCUAAUGUCAACUUUCUUCUUCGGAUGGAGGGGGGCCUAAGUAGCAGAGCACCAUUCAGCUAAGGUAACAUAAUAUUGAGCCAGAUCUGUAUCUACAGAGAAAAAAGCACAAGAUCCACUA